rnacentral:rRNA from 1 species
GCGACCCCAUGUCAGGCGGGACACUAGCCG